GCCUCUGAACGGGCGACUCUGCCGCAAGCACCAGAUCCAGGCGUUUCCGAGCGUUCGCGUGUUCCGCGAGGGCACGGACAUUCAC
rnacentral:ribozyme from 1 species